CUCGCUUGUCCGCCGGCUACUUUGUGCGGUACACCUGCGUGAUGGUCACCUGGGAAAGCCCGGAAGGGUUGUGUGCGGUUCUGUUGUGUUAUGCUAUGUCUGGUGCUACCGCUGCUGUGCUAGCCGCAAGAGAAGAAACGUGUCAGCAGUUCCAACGGCUCCUCGAGCCUUCUUCCAGCCUCUCAGCUCGCGCCUUGCCUGCCCUGGGUUCAGCGAGCAGUGCAGACAGUGGGAUAAGCGACAGUUGGCACUGAGCCGGAUCAGCGACGCACCUGACUUCACCUGACUGUCCCAUGGCAACCUCAGCCACAAGAACUCAACAGGAAUAGAGGGGAAAUUUUACCCCUCCUGACACACCUCAACUGCAAAAGUUACAGCCACAGUGCAUGAUGCAGAAACAUGCCGCCCAGAAUAAAUUACAGCAAAAUGAGCUCAAGAUGAAACAAGCCUGGGGAAAACAUUCCAGACCCACUAAAGAAUGUGUUGUCAUCAAAACUGCCAGGACUCUGCCCUGAUCCCCUUUGGAGGGAGAGAGAUAUUUACAACCUCUAUUCAGGCUCAGCUUGGGACAGAGGGUAAAUGAGAGUCUCGCCAGGCAAAAAUCAGCCUGGGUCCCCUGGAAAAGAGAAGUUCUCUUUGGUUCUUGACACCAGGAGCCUCCUGAGGCCAUGGAGGGAAGGAACAGCUAAGGAAGAGAAACCUCUGAAACAAGUUUCAUCUGAAAAGAAAAAAACAAAAAAACAUGGUUUUCGACUUUUGAAAAUAAAGCAUUAAAGGCAAUGAUUUUCUUUCAUCAUUGUUCUGAAAUAAUGUUUUAGCAGUCUCAUUGUUGAAACAUGACUUCCUAUCGGUAUCUCUGCCUGUUAAUAUUCUUCAAUAUCAGGAAAACACAAGCAGAUGGGGAAAGAGGGAACAAAAAGCACAGCAGUGCAGGGCCUCAGGGUGAGUGAGAGAUGUCUAAAAAUGCUCCGUGCUCCCCAGGCAGAGAGGUGGAGAGAGGUUCAGCAGACAACACCAGUGUGUGAAAUCACCCAGGCCACAGAGGCCCGCUGUGUCUUUGAUCUGUUGUUAAUAUUCUCAGACGGACGAACAGUUCCCAGACUCAAAGAAUGAGGACUGUGCUGAGUGAGAGUGAUUCUUAAUUCCAGCUCA